GCCAAGCAAGGAAGAGAGAGAAAGAGAGGAAGAACAAAGGGAAAAACAAGAAAACCUAGGUGAAAAUUCGAAGAAAAAGUGAAGAAAUCAAGGAAACAAGCUAGGUAAGUUAAAAUUUCUUUAGUUCUCCUUGAUACCUAGCUUACCCAUGCUUUUGUUCUUGAUUUUCAUGAUUGAAUAUUGAGUUAUUAUGAUAAAUUCAAUUCUGAAAAAUGGGUUAGGAAAGAGAAAAUUGUUAGAUUAAUUUGAUUUUAAGUUAUGUUAGUGUUUUAAAUUAGUUUAGCAUAUUUAGAAACAAAACAACAAGAAAAGAAUUUAUUUUCUCCCACAACCCUUAAUGGCCAAAUUUACCAUGUGUUGAGUGAAGAUGAAUUUGAUUUUCAUUCUAGGAGAAUUAGUUAAGAAAUGAUGAAUUAUGAGCCUAAAAAGAAUGGGACUUUUCAGAACAAAAGUAUGAAUUUUUACCCACUAGGGGUAUUUUCGUAAUUUGCUAUCGAGACUGAUAAAUUGAAUCUCAUUCACAGUCAUUAAGGUAAUUUAGGUAUAAUUGAAGUGUAGAAAGUGAGAAGAAUUGAUUUGGAGUUAAAUUGGAGAUAAUAAGCCGAAUUAGGUCAGCACCGCAUUUAAACGGUAGUCUGAUAAGUUGUAUAUCAUAUCAUGCAUAUAUACCGAGCCUGAAUUGAUUUUAUAAUGGUCAAGCAUUGAUGUGAUGAAUUAUGUAUUGUACAUUGUGGAUAGGUGGUGAGCAAAGUACACUGGUAAAAGUACAGAAAUUAUGCUUGGAGACUGGGAUUAAGAGUACAUCGACUCAUAGAACAAUGAGUGAACUUAUUAUCAUCUUAAUUAUCUAGAGUAGUUUUAUACAACUAUGUGAUUUUAUGAAAAAUGGGUUUAAAUGGUAAAUUGCUAUGUUUUAAGAGAAAUUGUGAUUUUAUAAAAUGAUUUUAUAAAUUUUCUGAAAAAUCGAAUAUUGGUUUUGAAAAUAGAGUAAUUGGAGACUGCUAGUUUGUGUUGCAAAUUUAUGGUUUUGAAUUGAAUGGCUUAUGACAAUAAAUGAGAAUGAAUGGCUAAACUGAUUUUGGUGUUAGAAUUAUUUAUACUGUGUAUUCAGCCUUGAGAGGCUAGGUUGCGAUAAAUUGCCAUGUCAUGCUAGAAUGAAUUUUAUUGAUUGGUGGAUUAUAUAUUAAUUAUUCACUACAGAGGGGGUUCCAUGGACCAACCUAUUAGAAGGGCAUGGUAAACUCCAUUAUAUUCUUACCUCGAACGAAGAGGCACGUAGGGUAUCUCUUGGGGUAAAACUUAGGGUUCAUUUCACGCCAAACCAUCACGUGAAGGGGAACUCAGCCAACACUAAGGAACGGCUGUAUUUUUCUCAAACUAAAAAUAUAUUUUAAGUGUAUACAAAAUUUUAACAGCCUUGGCGGACUCAGAUGGAUGCCCUGUGCAAGGUAUCGCCGAGUAUGAGUUUUGGCACGAGUCAAAGUUUUAAGAAAUUCAUAAGCCAAGUUGAUUACUCGAUUUAUAUGGAUUGAUUUUAUUUGGUUGAAAUGAGUUUAAAGGUAAUGAAAUUACAGUAUGAUGACUUAUUUCAAUUGUCUCCAUUUACUCGACUUUAGAUAGUUUAGAUGGUAUCUGUUUACUCACUGGGAUUUUAUAAUCUCACCACCCUCAUUUCCUCACAUUUCAGGCUCGGGGAAUUCCAUAGUUAGCUGACUUUGACAAGGACUUUCAUUUGGACUCGAAUCGAUAAAAGCUGUAGGUUUCCAGCUUCCGAUGCAUUUUGGUUAGAGGUGGGCCCACAUGUCACUGUAAAAGAAAUUUUAUGCUUUGGUUCUUUGCUUUAUAGUAUAUAUGAAUAUAAUUAACUUUUACGCUACAAGAAUUAUGUACCGAUAGUUUUAUGAAAAUUAUUUUACAAGAAAAUAGUUUAUUUUAUUGAAUAUUUUUA
rnacentral:lncRNA from 1 species